rnacentral:lncRNA from 1 species
UUUUUUCUUUUUUUUUUCAGAUUUUAUUUUAUUUUAUUUCCAACCUUUUCUUCAACUUAACUCACCGCCCAGCAUUCUGUACAUUCUGUUCACAGCAUCAACUCCUAACACUUCCUGAGAGCUUAUUAGGUGGCCGACAAUGGGCUAAAUACUUCAUAUGUUAUGUAUUUGGUUUUUCACAGUCUGAGAAUAGUAUUAUUUUCCUUAUUUUACAAAUGGUAAACCUUAGUUUUUUAAAGGCUAAUAGAUUUGCCUGAGGAAACACAGCCAGUACCAGUAGGGCUGUAAGUUUGCCUGAUUUCAGAGCCCUUAUUUUCUACUAUUCUGCCCUAUGUGUGUGUGUGUGUGUAGAUACACAUACGCAUGCGUGUGUAGCUGCAUGCAUGUGUAUACAUAUGAGUAUGUAUAUAUACAUAUACACACACAAAUGUGUAUAUAUAUAUAUAUGCAUAUGUACACGCAUAUGCAUGUGGGUGUGCUGGCAUACACACAUGUGUAUGUAUAGUGUACAUGUAUAAGUAUGUGUGUAGAUGUGUAUAUAUAUGUAGGUGUGUGUAUAUAUAGGUAUAUGGGUGUACAUGUUUGUGUUUGUUAGUAUGCAUGUGUGUGUAUACAACUAUAGGUGUAAAAAUUUUCCAAUCUCAGGUUAGAAAGUAGGUAAUAUAUUGUUUUAGUCACCAGGUCUCACACAUAGUGCAAUAUAAUAGUCCAAUAAAAGUCUUAAAACUUUUAAAUUUAUUAAGUUUUAAGUUCAUUUAAAUACACUCUUUUAAAAUGAUAUUUUAUGUGAAGGUCACUUAGAAAUUGCUUUGUGCAGGCAGGAAGCCAGGAGUCCUGGGUUCCAGUACCAGCUCUGCCACUGCCUGGUGGCACAUCGCUUCUCUGACUCCAGGUUUCUUUCUGUAAAAUGAAACCUGCAUUGAUACCGUAUCGGGGGGUUCCUUCCCAGAAGACUUAAAAUGCAAAUAAAAUCCCUCUUAAAAGAAUAGUUUCAUAUUUAAAGUAAACCUGUACUUUUGAUUUUCUAGUGCAUUUGUCCAUUCUGAAAGCUUCCUAAAAUUAUUUUUCCCAAGUAUCAAAUAAAAGUUGAUUUCCUAUGACUUGGAGUCUAAUGACUGUAUUAAAGCAGUACAGUUAUGAAACAUCACUGGUCCCACAUCAAUUAAAAGCUCAGAAAUGAGAAAGAUUGUAUAUUCUCUCUGUGUUUAGUGGGCUACACACUGCACCAUGAAAGGAAUUCGUUAGAGAGAACUGACAGAAGCUAUUUCUAUAAAGGGCAAACUAAAGAGUCCCAGUUAGGUUCCGAAGACCUUGCUGAAGAUUCAGACUGUUUAUUCUGGCAAAAGCCCAUGAAUGCAAUCUUUAGCUGCCACUGGGGACAUAACAAUGACAGAUGAGUUUAAGAUUUUCUCAGAUGCUUCCAAAUUUGUUAGUCAAAAUCCUACCAACUGAAGCUGAUGGGGAAAAGAAUGGAACGGAUACCGAACUUUUAGAUCUAAGUCAUGAUUUCAAAAUUUAUUUCUCGAUCCUGCCCCGUUACUAUCAUCAGGACAAAGUAAAUUAGAUUUGAGGCACAGGCAAGAGUAAAUGGUAUUUUACAUCAAAGGAUAAGUUUGUAAGACAUCUCAUGUGAAUGAGUUUGAACAGAAGGGACUGAGUAGCUGGAAAUAAAAUACCUGAGGCCCUAUGGUGGAGAACGGCUUGAAACAGGCAUGGAAAAAACAGCAAAGACCAUCAUUAUCCUGAUAUAAACCCACUAUCCCAAAGUCUCCUAAAGCGUUCUUUCUCCGUAGGAAAGGAGGAGUCCUGAAAUGUAACUCAGUAUGGUUUUCUCUACACUUACCAGAGGGAGUUUUUAUCUUGUGAGUGUGCCUAAUUUUUCACCUUUUCAUCACUGAUACAGGCAUACUUCGGGGGUACUGUGGGUUCACUUCGAGACUACCACGAGUAUCCCGUUAUAAGGCAAGUCGCUAAAAUGUUUUGGUUUCUCAGUGCAGCUCAAAGUUAUGCUUACACGAUACUGAUAGUUUACUAAGUGUACAAUCGCAUUAUUUCUAAAAAAGUGUACCUAUCUUAAUUGAAAAGUACGCUAUCGCUAAAAAAUGCUAACUAUCACCUGAGCCUUAAGCAAAUCACAGUGGUAACAUCAGAGAUCACUGGCCACAGAUCAUCAUAACAAAUAUAAUGAUAAUAAAGAAGUCUGAACUUUUUUUUUUUUUUUUUUUUUUUUUUGUUUUUUUGCUAUUUCUUGGGCCACUCCCGCGGCAUAUGGAGGUUCCCAGCCCUAAAAAGACAAAAGACCAAAAAGAAAAAGAGAAAAGAAAAAAAACAAAAAACAAAAAACAAAAAAACAAAAAAACAAAAAAAAAAAACCUCAGCAUUUAGUAUUUUAUUUGAGUUAGGAAUGAUUCUAAAAAAAAUGAUUUUAUUUAAAGUUAUCUGAGUAACAAUUAAAGCUAAAGCACAAAAAGGGACCAAUACAUAAUGUAGCUGAAUUUGUUGAGCUCAUGAUUAUCAUGAAAAUUUUGUAUUUUGAAAAAAUGUGCAUCAGUCAUCCUUUGGUGGUUCCAGGACCCUCCUCAGAUACCAAAAUCCACAGAUGCUCAAAUCCCUUAUAUAAAAUGGUGCAGUAUUUGCAUAUCACCUACACACAUCCUCCUGUAUACUUUGAAUCAUCUCCAGAUUACUCAUAAUAACUAAUACAAUGUAAAUGUUAUAUAAAUUGUUGCCAGUGCCAAUUCAAAAACAGUUUGAGUCUGCAUAGCAAAUUCAAGUUUUGCUUUCCAGAACUUCCUGGAAUUUUUCCCCCAAAUAUUUUCAAUCUAUGGUUGAAUCCUGGAACACAAGGACAGGAAGAGCCCACUGUGUUAUGGGGACAACAGUCUUCUGGCUAACAGCUCAGUAGAUCAGAGCUUACAACCAAACACUAUUAGCCAUCUCAGAGUGAUUUACAUUGAUGGAAGAAAAACAUGGAAGACUGGUAAAUCCAGAGACCGUGCUCAAUUCUCCUUCAAAGCCUUCUUGUUUGAACUCUAAACAAACUGUCAGCAAGUAACUAAACUGGCCAGUGUGAGAUUUCUUCUCUUUCCCCCUUACUCAGUAAAAGAUUCUGAGCAGAAAGGUAUUUAUGUCCAACUUAAAAGAAAGAAACGAAGGCACAGUGAGAAUUAACAGAUGGUUAUUCCCACCAAGAAACCAGGGAUGGAGACUGGGCACAUCCAAGUUCACAGGGCUUCUUACUAACCCUCAGUGUGAAGGGGUUUCCUUAACCAUGAGAAGGUUUGAUUAGGACCAAAAUGCUGUCUUGGCAACAACACAGACAGACCUAGAGGGUAUGAUGCUAAGUGAAAUAAGUCACAGAGAAAGACAAAUACUGUAUGAUCUGACUUAUAUGUGGAAUCUUAAAAUAAAAACAUCUUAUAGAAAAAGGAUCCGGUCUGUAGCUAUCAUUAUAGUUACCAGAGGUGGGAGUUAGAGGAGAAGGAACUGGAGGUGGUGGUCAAAAGAUACAAACUUAUAGCUAUGAGAUAAAUGCUACAAACUUAUAGCUAUGAGAUAAAUGCUACGCACAUAAUAUACAGCAUGAUGACUAGAGUUAAUGCUGCCAUACGGUACAUAGGAAAGUUGUUAAGGGAGUAAAUCCCAAGAGUUCUCAUCACAAGGAGAAAAGUGUUUUAUCUUUUUCUUUUCCUGUAUCUCUAUGAGAUGAUGGAUGUUAACUAAACUUACUAUGGUCAUCUUUUCAUGAUAUAUGAAAGUCAACUCAUGAUGCUGUACACUUUAAAUGUAUACAGUAAUGUAUGGCAGUUGAACUCAAUAAAAUUACAGAAAUUAUAAGAACUAAAUGACUGUCAUCCGCUCAGAGGGACCUUGCCUGAAAUAGUCAUGACUCCCAACUUCUAAGUAUGCAAUCCGAAAAAGGUUUCUUUUUUCACCCACUUUGAAACUGAUAAGGAAUUGUACAGUAUAUAUUUUCUUCUCUCUGGCUUCCUGUGAUCCACAUUUUUUUUUAGGGCCCCACCCUCAGCAUAUGGAAGCUCCCAGGCUAGGGGACGAAUUGGAGCUGCAGCUGGUGGCCUACACCACAGCCACUGGAUCUGAACCUACAGCUUCCAGCAACACCAGAUCCUUAACCCACUGAGUGAGGCCAGAGAUGGAAUCCGAAUCCUCACAGACACUAUGUUGGGUUCUUAACAACCGAGCCACAAUGGGAACUCCUCCACUACGGUUUCUGGUUCAAGAGCUUGACUGAUAGAUAAAUACAUAAAUAUUAGAUUGGAUAUGUAGAAAGAAAAAGUUUCUCUGGUAUCCCUUAACUACAGAUCCCACUAGUCACUUGUGAAAUUAUCAAAAAGAGAUUAGAAAGAUACAAAUUAUUGGAUAUGGUUUUACAUUUUAUAUUAAGCCUUUUGACAAAUUUAAAGCACCAAUAAAUAACUGAGGUGACAACAGGCUCAGAUCAGCAGUCCAGAAAUAAAUUCUUUGUUUCCUGCCCACAGUUCCUAGACCAAGCCUAGAGAGAUGGCUCAGGAAGAGCUCAGAGCGCUUCAGAUAAUCCCGCCUAGGGUUCAUAUGCCCUUGAAUUUCAAGUUACUUGUUAAAAAUAACUACUGCAGUGUCAAAAAGGAAAUGAACUGGCCAUCGUCAACUUAUCAAAGUUAUGAUGACAUCCUUUUCUGCAGCAGAAAAGACUGGAAUAGCAGAAAGCUGAACUCUUUCAGCUCAGCUUCUGGCCACCCACAGAGGAGCACGCAGCAUUCCUGACCCAAGCGGCCAGUCAUCACUCUCAUGCCAAAAAGCCUGGGAGAAAACUGGCACAGGCUGGCUGUUUAAUGUGCACAGAUAAGCUGCAAAAUUGAAAUCUAAAUGUUCUAAAGUUUACCCACCUCAAGGGCUGGCUGCCUUCUGCAGGGAGGAAGAGCGAGAGGUGAAUCGUAACAGACUGUGCAAGAAGCAAAACAGAGCAGAGGGUCCUGCCACAGGGAUUAAGAAAGAGGACCAGAAGCAGAGACCCCACAAUCAGAUGUAAAAGGAAGAAAUCAUAAGGUUCUACUGACGAGGCUUACUUCCACUCUGACAAGUACAUCCCACCUGAAAAGGAACACUCCGAGGGUAAUUCAAUUAUCAAAAAUUUGCAAAACAAUGGAAUUGCCCUUGUGGCUCAGAGGUUAAUGAACCCAACUAGGAUCCAUGAGGAUGGUUUGAUCCCUGGCCUCAAUCAGUGGGUUGAAGAUCCGGUGUUGCUGUGAGCUGUGGUAUAGGUCACAGACACAGCUCAGUUCUGGCAUUGCUGUGGCUGUGGCAUAGGUCGGCAGCUCUAGCUCUGAUUGGACCCCUAGUCCUGGGAACCUCCAUAUGCCCCAGGUGCGGCCCUAGAAAGCAAAACAAACACAAAAACAAAAAUGCAAAGCAAAACAAAAUACCUCUCUACUUUAAAACACUUAAACAUUUGGAUUUGUCACUGUUGGAUUUAAUCAUAAUUAUCUUGGCCGAAGCAUUUAAAAAGAAAUACCACAUUAUAAAAAUGCAUGCCUAGGAGUUUCCUAGUGGCCCAGUAGUUAAGGAUCUGGUGUUGUCACUGCUGUGGCUCAGGUCACUGCUGACAUGUGGAUUCAAUCCCUGGCCCAGGAACUUCCACAUACCUUGGGCAUGACCAAAAAAAUGCAUACCUAAAUUGUGUCUGGCUUCCAAAAGAUAAUCAUACAGUAUUUUCAUGCAAUGGUUAACAUUUAUAUGCUAGUAGCUCUUACUAUGUGCGAGGCUCUAUUCUAAGCACUUCACAUAUAUUAACUCAUUUCACCCUUGCAACAAUCCAGGAUACUGGUAUUAUUAUUCCCAUUUUACAGAUGAGGAAACUGAGGCACAGUUUCCCAAGAUCCAUCAGCUCUACAAUGCCAUACAUAUAGCAAUCAAUACCAUUACCAUUUUUGUGAAGGGGCAAUAAUAACCUGAAUUUCAUCCUACCCAUAUUUUUGAUGGUGAGUUAACCGGACAAAAACAUAAGGAUUUAUAUUUAAGCAUCCCAGUUUGAUGCUGUGCCACAUAUUUCCACAAAAGUACGUUUCAUUUGCAUAAUGAUACAAAGAUUGUUUCUGACAUGAACAAUUCAGCCACGUCUAAGAUAAUGUAAUUGCUCAUUUUGCUUUUAUAUGAACAUCACUGCAGUAAAGCAAACACUGGAGGUGCUUAAUAGAGCUGGAGCCAUGGAUCUGGGCUCCCAGACCAAAAAAAAAAAAUAUAUGAGUUAAACAGCAGCAGUUCUAAGAGACAGACCUCAGAAGCAGCUCAAGAGUGGAAAAGACGUGAAACCAAGUAGCCCUGGCAAGUGUAGGAACCAAAACCCAAGGAUGAAAUAUAAUUUGUUUUAGCAGAAAGAGAGUGGACCUUAACUUCAAGUGAAAAAAAUUAGAAAUGAAGAGCAUUUUAGAUGGGGCCAUGGUUUUUGCCAUCUUGCUGGCAUGUCUGUUCAUUCAAUUUGCUGCCAAUUUAGUAAUUACAUAGUGAUAUUUCAAGCACCUGGAGACAAAACAAUUCCAAUAAAUUCAACGAAAAGUUGAAUAGGAAGCUCUAGUCUCUAAGAGACAGAGUUGGUAGUGGCAAUGGCCAAAGAGAAGGUGAGAGGCAGGUAGCUGUCCAUAGGGACAGCUUGGACAGUUAAGAGCUCACGAAAUGUAUGUCAGGUUGAGGACCACGUCAUCUGGGCUCACCUAGGGUGGGGGCUACAUCACCUGGAUCUAAACAGCCACAGCCUCCACAUCCCUCCAGACAGGGAUGAGACCCAAAAAGGCAGAGCCAGGACCACCACCUGGAGUUUUACAUGC